rfam:Ictidomys tridecemlineatus contig027108, whole genome shotgun sequence.
UGGGCUGUAGCUCAGUGGUAGAGCGCUUGCCUAGCAUGCAUGAGGCACUGAGUUCGAUGCUCAGCACCACAU